GCGUCGGUGGUUCAGUGGUAGAAUACUCGCCUGCCACGCGGGUGGCCCGGGUUCGAUUCCCGGCCAACGCA
rfam:Ixodes scapularis strain Wikel colony gcontig_1108379768030, whole genome shotgun sequence.